rnacentral:rRNA from 1 species
ACGGGUGAGUAACACGUGGGUAACCUGCCCAUAAGACUGGGAUAACUCCGGGAAACCGGGGCUAAUACCGGAUAACAUUUUGAACUGCAUGGUUCGAAAUUGAAAGGCGGCUUCGGCUGUCACUUAUGGAUGGACCCGCGUCGCAUUAGCUAGUUGGUGAGGUAACGGCUCACCAAGGCAACGAUGCGUAGCCGACCUGAGAGGGUGAUCGGCCACACUGGGACUGAGACACGGCCCAGACUCCUACGGGAGGCAGCAGUAGGGAAUCUUCCGCAAUGGACGAAAGUCUGACGGAGCAACGCCGCGUGAGUGAUGAAGGCUUUCGGGUCGUAAAACUCUGUUGUUAGGGAAGAACAAGUGCUAGUUGAAUAAGCUGGCACCUUGACGGUACCUAACCAGAAAGCCACGGCUAACUACGUGCCAGCAGCCGCGGUAAUACGUAGGUGGCAAGCGUUAUCCGGAAUUAUUGGGCGUAAAGCGCGCGCAGGUGGUUUCUUAAGUCUGAUGUGAAAGCCCACGGCUCAACCGUGGAGGGUCAUUGGAAACUGGGAGACUUGAGUGCAGAAGAGGAAAGUGGAAUUCCAUGUGUAGCGGUGAAAUGCGUAGAGAUAUGGAGGAACACCAGUGGCGAAGGCGACUUU